rnacentral:rRNA from 24 species
UGACCCCAUGCCGAACUCAGAAGUGAAACGCCGUAGCGCCGAUGGUAGUGUGGGGUCUCCCCAUGUGAGAGUAGGGAACUGCCAGGCA